rnacentral:rRNA from 1 species
UUGCAGUUAAAAAGCUCGUAGUCGAACCUUGGGUCUGGCUGGCCGGUCCGCCUCACCGCGAGUACUGGUCCGGCUGGGCCUUUCCUUCUGGGGAAUCUCAUGGCCUUCACUGGCUGUGGGGGGAACCAGGACUUUUACUGUGAAAAAAUUAGAGUGUUCAAAGCAGGCCUUUGCUCGAAUACAUUAGCAUGGAAUAAUAGAAUAGGACGUGCGGUUCUAUUUUGUUGGUUUCUAGGACCGCCGUAAUGAUUAAUAGGGAUAGUCGGGGGCGUCAGUAUUCAGCUGUCAGAGGUGAAAUUCUUGGAUUUGCUGAAGACUAACUACUGCGAAAGCAUUCGCCAAGGAUGUUUUCAUUAAUCAGGGAACGAAAGUUAGGGGAUCGAAGACGAUCAGAUACCGUCGUAGUCUUAACCAUAAACUAUGCCGACUAGGGAUCGGACGGUGUUUCUAUUAUGACCCGUUCGGCACCUUACGAGAAAUCAAAG